rnacentral:rRNA from 1 species
UAGGGAAUCUUCCGCAAUGGACGCAAGUCUGACGGAGCAACGCCGCGUGAGUGAAGAAGGAUUUCGGUUCGUGAAACUCUGUUGUUAGAGAAGAACAGCGCAUAGAGUAACUGUUAUGCGUGUGACGGUAUCUAACCAGAAAGCCACGGCUAACUACGUGCCAGCAGCCGCGGUAAUACGUAGGUGGCAAGCGUUGUCCGGAUUUAUUGGGCGUAAAGCGAGCGCAGGCGGUCAAUUAAGUCUGAUGUGAAAGCCCCCGGCUCAACCGGGGAGGGUCAUUGGAAACUGGUUGACUUGAGUGCAGAAGAGGAGAGUGGAAUUCCAUGUGUAGCGGUGAAAUGCGUAGAUAUAUGGAGGAACACCAGUGGCGAAGGCGACUCUCUGGUCUGUAACUGACGCUGAGGCUCGAAAGCGUGGGUAGCAAACAGG